UGUGUGUGUGUGUGUGUGUGUGUGUAUGUGUGUAUAUAUAUAUAUAUAUACAUACACACACACACACAUGCAUACACA